GCCUUCGUGGUGUAGUGGUCAGCACACUUGGCACGUAUUCAAGAGGUCCACGGUUCGAGUCCCUGUUCGGGCG
rnacentral:tRNA from 1 species